rnacentral:lncRNA from 1 species
CGAGGCGAAUCGAGUAAAAUGAAGAACAAUUGAUUCAGAGUACUUGCUCAACCAGUUAGGAGAGACAAACGCCCAAUCAAUCCACUCCCACACUCGAGCUUGUCUCAAUUGAUUGUUACACCAAGUGAAGGAAGGCCCCUGAAAGCCAAGAUCAACCAAGCCUGUUUGGUUUAAAAAGGCCCUGAACUCCCGAAUAUCUCUGGACACCCUAAAUGGCUUCCCUCCAUAUUUGUCUUCAGCUUAUGGAAGACAAUUAAAAUCUCUAAUUAAUACCAAAUCAAGGCCUAUAUCCUGAACCACCUUGACUUGUUCCAAACCACCCGACAACGAAUACCCGAGGUACUUGCAUAC